rnacentral:lncRNA from 1 species
AAGGCACUGUUAGGUUGUGGGUAAUGUUCUGCUGGAAUGGUUUGAGGAGCACAACAAUGAGUUUGAGGUGUUGACUUGGCCUGCAAAUUCCCCACAUCUCAAUGCAUCUGUGGGAUGUGCUGGACAAACAAGUCUGAUACAUGGAGCGCCCACCUCUCAACUUACAGGACUGGAAGGAUCUGUUGCUAACUUGGUGCCAGAUACCACAGCACAGCUUCAGGGGUCUAGUGGAGUCCGUGCCUUGAUGGGUCAGGGCUGUUUUGGCAGCAAAAGGGGCACAAACAUGAUAUUAGGCAGCUGGGCACAGUGUUGUGCUCGAUAGGUGUACAGAGCCUGCACUAAAAAUUUACAUCUGACUGCAAAAGACCUUGAUUUUUUUCUUCUCUACAUACUUGCAGGACUGCUGCUUCACUGAGCUCCAUGACCUUUUUUAAGAGAAGGUUUUUGUUUCUCAGUAGGAAAUAGUGAAUUGUCUUAAUGCUCCCUUAAUGCGAUUUGGUUUCAUGGUUGCUUUUUUUUUCUUCUUCUCUCUGUUUUGUCAGCAGGUGCAGGUCCCAGCACCAGUGCAUGUCUUACAGUGUGGAUCAGCAGCCUCUCCUCUCUGCAACGACAGAAGGGUUAAUGCACACUGCAGCACAUUAUUUCUCUAUCUUAGAAGAUUUGAAAUAAACAGGAUGUGGCACGAAGAGGAUGUGGUCAGCCAAAUGGAAGAGGCGUUCCCCCCUGAACAGAUCAGCUUCUCCUCCUCCUCUCGCUCGCCCCCAAAGCUCUGCAGCUAAAACCCUCCAGGAUCCUCCAGAGAGGCAGCAGGCCCGAACACACUCACUGUGGCUUUCCCCCCGUUUGACUACAGGCAGCUAACAGUGUUAAUCAUUUCUUGGCUGGUGCAGAGAAGUGCUUUCACACCACUUGCAGGGAUGACCUCUGUAUAAACGUAUGCAAAAUGUUAAAGCCAUAUGUUUGUUUCACUCCUGAGCUUUAAUAUAAAUGGAGUUACAGAAACUAAAUGUACUUUUCCUAUAACUUCCACUUACUGUAACGAGUUCUUAAGCCAUGUCAUGCUUUGGGUAGAGCUGUGCUGAGGAAAAAAAGUUACAUGCUUUAAUAUUAACCAGACUAAUGUGUUUGCAUUUCACAAUACUCUGUUUAAAUGUUGGAAUAGCUGAGCUACUUCUUCACUUGAGAUCAGGCUUCGACUGUUACACGUCACCGGCGUGAUCACUGUUUUCAUGCCUGUAAGCGAAUAAACCACUCUCGGCCGAGCGUCCUCAACAAGCUGCUGUUGCUUUCUCCUCUCUGUGAUUACAGUGAACUGGUGGCAGCGCCACACUAGAUAAAAUUAGCUGUUUUAAUCUCAACCUGAAGGCAAAUCAUUAACAGUAUUAAUCAUCGGGAACUUGGGGCUGUGUGGGUGUUCAAGACUCUAAUCAGGGGCUUUUUUUUUAAUCUUUAAAUGAUUAAUUCAGCAGGGUAAUAAUUUACAGUCUCGUGCUCUAAUCCUGCACUUACUGAAGUAACAUGAAAGGUAAGUGUCAUUUCAGUGAUCACACAUUCAUUCUUAGCUAUUCAACUGUACUUUGCAUUCCAGCCUGUUUUGAUGAGGGCUUCGCUUUUCCUUCACUUUCAUGUGAGCAAUCAAGUUCAUAUAAACAGAUAUUGUGCCAUCUGAAAAGGUCUGUUUAGAGGUGCUUCAGCAACUUCAAAGUACUGCACAGAGUUGGGAAACUAUAAACAUUAAAGAAAGACUCUCUCUAACUGAAACAACACAUGUUUAAGACUUAAAGACACUGGAUCCCGGGUCUCAAGCACCGUCCCCCUCCCUUCAUCAUCUCAGAUUUUAAAAAGGCUCGUCUGAGCCGCUGGAACCAUCACACGACUGUUUCCACAGGCUGAGGAGCAUCACUUAUCCAAGUGUAUUAGUCUGAAUCAGUGUGGAAAUGUAACCAGUGCCUGCUGUUGUGUCACAUUGUGGCUUCACUGAAUGCUUCAGGUCAUCUGCGCUGCCCUCCAGCAACGUCUCUUCAAUCAGUUUAAUUUCCCUGCAUUUAACAGGGCUGUACUUCCCAAAGUAACACACAUACAUAAGGAUAUUUUCACUUUAUCAUUAAAGACCUUAUAUCAGCUAUUCUCAUGUAAACUCACGUAUUAAUGAUCUGUGCACAACAGGGCCCUCAAUAAUGUACGUAAUAAUAAUACAUAUGUAUAAUAUAUUAAUUAUUUUAAAAAAUAACUUCUGAAAACUGGUUGAAAAUUCAGUGAGCCAUAAUGAUCUGGAUUGAUUGACUUGAUUGAUUUUGGUCCGUGUACUCAAACACUGUGAGGCACAUGAGGGGAGAGUCUGUUUGUCCAAAUAUAUUGUUUCACACCUAGAAUGAGCACAGGAACUUUAAGUGCUUAUUAUUCUAUUAUUUAUUCGAUUAUAGUUAUAUUUACAAUUAUGAUUCAGUUUUGGGACACACAUUUGAAGAAAUUUGAAUACAUUUUCUGUGCUUUGGUACAUUUUACACGCACCAAUUUGCAAUGUUUGUAAAGUUGAACACAAAAAUUAGGGGAUAAGCAGCUUAUACUGGAAUAUAAUACAGCGAAGCUCCCAAUGAUUCUGUGGUGCUUUCAAAUAGUUGUUUUCAUCGUUUAUCAUACUGUGUUAUCUAUGCUGAGUCCUUUUUUUUCUGUUUGCUAACUUCCUCUUCUUAGAUACUCUAUGAGUGCAGGCUGUAUUUUAGAGCAUCCUGACUGGGACCCUACACAGAUGUAGGAUGUUACUGUGCGGAGCUUUUGCGUGCUCUCUCUCAGCCUUCACUCCAAAGAUUAAGAAGCUUUAGACCGGGAAAGGUUUGUGGUGUCAUGCCUUGGCCCUAAACGACAGACACAAAAGAAAUAACGUCAUUAGUAACACCAUGCAACAUCAACUUUUGAAAGGACAUGGCUGCACAAGGAUGCUAAACAGAUAAACAACUUUGCACGUGCCUUCAGGGUUGCCCUUUUUGAAUGAGGGAGAAAAAUGCCACAGUAACAGCCUGCAUCUCAAAGGCAUACUGUGUCAGGAUACUCUAUAAAACAGCCUGCUCCUCCUACAAUGUAAGAAGGGGAGGGUUAGGAUUCUCUACAACACAACGUUUUCCCUUCUGAAUAAGAGGCCAUGUUAACGCUGUAGCCUACACAACUGAAGCAUGUGCUGAUAUGAAAUGAGAAAAAGAGGUUAGAAUACAGCCCUCACCCAGCAAUGAGUAAGCGUAAGGGCAAACAUUACAUACUAUUACAUACUAAUACUAAUAUUUAAAAUCUAAUUUGUGCCUAGUCCCUUUUAAAAUACUCAGAAGGUGCUCUUUACUUAAAAAUUUUCAGUAUAAUUUGUUUCUUUUUCCUUUCAAACCUCCAGUUCUUUGCUUUUUUUUAAAUCAUAAAUCACUGUGCAAAACAUGGCACACGCUAUAGUGUGCAGUCUGGCUGUACAAAGCAUUCUGCGGUAGGACUGCAAGAAUAUUUUGCAGGUGGAGAUGCAGCAGAAGCAGCUGGAUCUUGCAGACCUCCGCCUCCACUGUCAAGCAAUGAUUAAACACAAAGGUAGGACGGAGAGAGAGGGACAGAAGAGCGAACAAACAAACAAGAGCACAGAGAGCAGGAUGACUGUGUGAGGAAGGAGCUGAAUCACAUCACUCACUCCAUCUGACCAAAAAAAAGCACAGACCAGAGAGGUACAACUGACCUCACAGUCUUGUGUAGACUGGACCUAUAUUUGUAGUCGGCGCGCGCGCACGAGUCCGUCUGAACUUGCUGAACCCAUUUUCUGCGCGCGCUGAAAAAUGUGCCAGGCUUGCAGCAUCGCGCGGACGUCAUGGCAACCUGUGGGGAAGCAGGCGAGCGCGGACUCGUAGUGAAUGUGUGCUUGAGCUCGUGCACAGGUGUGCGUGAGCCGUCUGAUGUGUUGUUGUAGUCUGUACUAGUAGUCGAGCAGGACGAUCAGAGGGGAGAGCGGUGCAGCAGCAGCACCACCACCACCAGCAGCGGAGGAGGAGGAGGCAGGGCGGGAGGCUGGUUUAGGAUGUUGCGUCUGAGCUGUCGAUUAGGCUGAUCAGAGCCGGAGCUACGAUGCAGUGACAGUCUACGGGAAGACAAGCACACACACGCGCGCACGCAGCGAGGGAGAAGAGGGGAGAGCACCACGCGAAUGCGCACGGG